GGGUGCUAUACAUGCAAGUCGAGCGGACCUUUUAAAAGCUUGCUUUUGAAAGGUCAGCGGCGGACGGGUGAGUAACACGUGGGCAACCUGCCUGUAAGACUGGGAUAACUUCGGGAAACCGGAGCUAAUACCGGAUAAUAUAAGGAAUCUCCUGGUUCUUUUUUGAAAGAUGGUUUCGGCUAUCACUUACAGAUGGGCCCGCGGCGCAUUAGCUAGUUGGUGAGGUAACGGCUCACCAAGGCGACGAUGCGUAGCCGACCUGAGAGGGUGAUCGGCCACACUGGGACUGAGACACGGCCCAGACUCCUACGGGAGGCAGCAGUAGGGAAUCUUCCACAAUGGACGAAAGUCUGAUGGAGCAACGCCGCGUGAGCGAUGAAGGCCUUCGGGUCGUAAAGCUCUGUUGUUAGGGAAGAACAAGUGCGAGAGUAACUGCUCGCACCUUGACGGUACCUAACCAGAAAGCCACGGCUAACUACGUGCCAGCAGCCGCGGUAAUACGUAGGUGGCAAGCGUUGUCCGGAAUUAUUGGGCGUAAAGCGCGCGCAGGUGGUCCUUUAAGUCUGAUGUGAAAGCCCACGGCUCAACCGUGGAGGGCCAUUGGAAACUGGGGGACUUGAGUGCAGAAGAGG
rnacentral:rRNA from 1 species